rnacentral:rRNA from 1 species
GUACACUCCUGCGGGAGGCAGCAGUGGGGAAUUUUGGACAAUGGGGGCAACCCUGAUCCAGCAAUGCCGCGUGAGUGAAGAAGGCCUUCGGGUUGUAAAGCUCUUUUGUCAGGGAAGAAACGGUGGUGGCGAAUAACUACUACUAAUGACGGUACCUGAAGAAUAAGCACCGGCUAGCUACGUGCCAGCAGCCGCGGUAAUACGUAGGGUGCAAGCGUUAAUCGGAAUUACUGGGCGUAAAGCGUGCGCAGGCGGUUGUGUAAGUCAGAUGUGAAAUCCCCGGGCUCAACCUGGGAAUUGCAUUUGAGACUGCACGGCUAGAGUGUGUCAGAGGGGGGUAGAAUUCCACGUGUAGCAGUGAAAUGCGUAGAUAUGUGGAGGAAUACCGAUGGCGAAGGCAGCCCCCUGGGAUAACACUGACGCUCAUGCACGAAAGCGUGGGGAGCAAACAGGAUUAGAAACCCGAGUAGUCCCA